rnacentral:rRNA from 1 species
AACGAACGCUGGCGGCAUGCCUAACACAUGCCAGUCGAACGAGACCUUCGGGUCUAGUGGCGCACGGGUGCGUAACGCGUGGGAACCUGCCCUUAGGUUCGGAAUAACUCCCCGAAAGGGGUGCUAAUACCGGAUAAUGUCUUCGGACCAAAGAUUUAUCGCCUUUGGAUGGGCCCGCGUUGGAUUAGCUAGUUGGUAGGGUAAAAGCCUACCAAGGCGACGAUCCAUAGCUGGUCUGAGAGGAUGAUCAGCCACACUGGGACUGAGACACGGCCCAGACUCCUACGGGAGGCAGCAGUGGGGAAUAUUGGACAAUGGGCGAAAGCCUGAUCCAGCAAUGCCGCGUGAGUGAUGAAGGCCUUAGGGUUGUAAAGCUCUUUUACUCGGGAUGAUAAUGACAGUACCGGGAGAAUAAGCUCCGGCUAACUCCGUG